AAAAACUUGGGACUUGACACUAGGCAACACCACUAUAGACAUUCAUCGCAAGGAGCGUCAAAUAGCCAUGGCCAGUGCAACCAAGGAGAUGAAGUUGCUACAAGAAGGCCUUAUGUUCCCAGGGGUCCAAAAAGCCUUCCUGAGAUUUGUAAAAGAAAGAAGUCCGGUGAUAGUAAACCUGUAAUUCUUGUUUCUCCUGACAACGAAUUCGUGGGUUUGCGUAUUCGUCAGUUUAGCUUGUCUAUUGGUAUGUAGGUAAGACAUAGGGAGAACUUUCCCCUCACAGCGCGUUAUUUCAAAGACGUCCCUGGAGAGAAUGUCCAGAGGGUGGUUACGCUUGAUCACUUCGAACUAGUGCCUGAUGAUGCCUCAACAGAAAAAUUGUUAAAGAGGAAAAUGAGGACUUUAUACAAUGGAUACAGAUCUGGAUUUAGUGCAAAUUACAGGUUGAAAUAUGGCAAAGAUUAUGACAAGGCACUAGCGAACCCGUCCAAGGACUGUACUA